rnacentral:lncRNA from 1 species
GUGCCAACCAAUCUAUGCAUAAAACUUCUUAAACGAAAGAAAACAGUUCUAAGGAGAACAGUUCUGUUUUAAGAACAUAUUUGUGCUCUUAUGAGAUUAAUAUCUUUCACCAGGAAGGAUUUAUUUUACUGUAAUAGCUGUACACACUAUUUAGGAAAGUACUGUUAGGCAGAGGACACAGUUCUGACUGAUGGGACUGAUUCACAAGUCACAAACUGGAUGUGUGUGUUGUGGGUGCCAGACCUCAGACACGGCCACUGCACCAAGCAAACAAAGGAUUAUUUUCCCCUCGUUAAUGUUAAUUUCAGACUCAUACAUAUAACUGCCAGCAUUCAAAACAAAACAUUAUUUUCACGUGACUCGUGUUGGAGCGCUCGAAAGAGUUUUACUGUGGAACGUGGUCUUGUAGGCGGGUAGUUCCACUGGCUCACACGAGCAGCCGAUCAGACCAGGAGGUAUCUUGGUUUCCAGGUGCGACUCUUCUCCUAGAUGGGACACCAGUCCAUCACAGACCCCACCAUCAGCAGACUGCAGUCUCUGUUCAAGAAGCUGCGUGGACUGGACUAUUCAGGACAACAGCCGUGUACGGUAUACUACAGUGACUCGAACCCACAGCCCCCCCCCGUGAGGCUGGAGACUUACCCACAAUGCUACACUGUUCUACUUCAACGAGAUUGCCGAGGCCAGGAUCCUGUGUCAGUCCAACAGAGAACAUCCAGAUAAACCUAGGAUCACCUGGGAGCACAUUCACAAAGGCUGCCAUGCCCUUAAAACCGAAAAGGAAACGCAACGUUUCGGCCACGGAGCCUUCUUCAGGUGUGUUGACAGGUGUGUGUUUUCUUUCUUCUCUUUUCAGCAUGGAAUAAACCUACUACUUGUUCCUUUGUAGCCUACGCAUGCUGACGCAGCUACCCACCUGAACUA